rnacentral:lncRNA from 1 species
AAGUUCGAAGAUGGCGCCGCCUGUCUGGUCGCGGUCUUAUGACGAAAUCUUGUUAGCUGCUCUUCACUGACGCCCCCACCCCAGUGCACAAGAGAUGGGGUCUCGUUAUGUUGACCAGGCUGGUCUUGAACACCUGACCUGAAGUGAUCCUCUUGCCUCAGCCUCCCAUAGUGCUGCGAUCACAGGUCCUGCCGAGUGCCUGCGAUUGCAGGCACGCGCUGCCACGCCUGACUGGUUUUGGUGGAGACGGGGUUUCGCUGUGUUGGCCGGGCCGGUCUCCAGCCCCUAACCGCGAGUGAUCCGCCAGCCUCGGCCUCCCGAGGUGCCGGGAUUGCAGACGGAGUCUCGUUCACUCAGUGCUCAAUGGUGCCCAGGCUGGAGUGCAGUGGCGUGAUCUCGGCUCGCUACAACCUACACCUCCCAGCCGCCUGCCUUGGCCUCCCAAAGUGCCGAGAUUGCAGCCUCUGCCCAGCCGCCACCCCGUCUGGGAAGUGAGGAGUGUCUCUGCCUGGCCGCCCAUCGUCUGGGAUGUGAGGAGCCCCUCUGCCUGGCUGCCCAGUCUGGAAAGUGAGGAGCGUCUCCGCCCGGCCGCCAUCCCAUCUAGGAAGUGAGGAGUGCCUCUUCCCAGCCGCCAUCACAUCUAGGAAGUGAGGAGCGUCUCUGCCCGGCCGCCCAUCGUCUGAGAUGUGGGGAGCGCCUCUGCCCCGCCGCCCCAUCUGGGAUGUGAGGAGCGCCUCUGCCCGGCCGCGACCCCGUCUGGGAGGUGAGGAGCGUCUCUGCCCGGCCGCCCCGUCUGAGAAGUGAGGAGCCACCCCAUCUGGGAAGUGAGGAGCAUCUCCGCCCGGCAGCCACCCCGUCCGGGAGGGAGGUGGGGGGUCAGCCCCCCGCCCGGCCAGCCGCCCCGUCCGGGAGGGAGGUGGGGGGGUCAGCCCCCUGCCCGGCCAGCCGCCCCGUCCGGGAGGUGAGGGGCGCCUCUGCCCGGCCGCCCCUACUGGGAAGUGAGGAGCCCCUCUGCCCGGCCACCACCCCGUCUGGGAGGUGUGCCCAACAGCUCAUUGAGAACGGGCCAGGAUGACAAUGGCGGCUUUGUGGAAUAGAAAGGCGGGAAAGGUGGGGAAAAGAUUGAGAAAUCGGAUGGUUGCCGUGUCUCUGUAGAAAGAAGUAGACAUGGGAGACUUUUCAUUUUGUUCUGCACUAAGAAAAAUUCUUCUGCCUUGGGA